UACGUAGGGCGCAAGCGUUGUCCGGAAUUAUUGGGCGUAAAGAGCUCGUAGGCGGUCUGUCACGUCUGCCGUGAAAACCCGAGGCUUAACCUCGUGGCUUGCGGUGGAUACGGGCAGACUAGAGGUAGGUAGGGGAGAACGGAAUUCCUGGUGUAGCGGUGAAAUGCGCAGAUAUCAGGAAGAACACCCGUGGCUAAGGCGGCUCUCUAGUACGGUACUGACGCUGAGACGCGAAAGCGUGGGGAGCGAACAGG
rnacentral:rRNA from 1 species